rnacentral:tRNA from 1 species
CCGUCCGCGGGCGGCGGGGAGGCCGGCAGCGGAGGCGACCGGUUCGACCACCUCGAGGUAGGCCUUGAGCUUCGGUUCGGUUCCGGACGGGCGCAC